rnacentral:tmRNA from 1 species
GGGGCUGCAUGGCUUCGACAGGGGGUAAAGUUAGGUGAUUGCAAGCCGAGGUGCUCAUCCUCGUUAAACGGGGCAAAACAACAACAGCCAAUCAGCCUGUUGCUCUCGCUGCCUAAGUAAUUAGCUCCAGCGACGUUCGCCUGUUCUUUUCCUAGUAGAACAGAUCCGAGCGUCAUGAACUAGGAUGCGGUUGCGGGGACUGCCUGAUAAGCGCGACCAAAGACCAUCGGGCUGGCGACCCGGCACUUCGUCUGUAGAGUGCCGGGGAGUGACUCAAAUAAAUGCAGACUACGCUUGUAGUAGAUUAUCGGCUGAACCUUUUGGACAGGGGUUCGAUUCCCCUCAGCUCCACCA